GGAUUAGAUACCCUGGUAGUCCACGCCGUAAACGAUGCGCACUUGGUCGGUGGGGUGUUCACGCCCUGCCGGCCGGAGAGAAAUUGUUAAGUGCGCCGCCUGGGGACUACGGUCGCAAGGCUAAAACUCAAAGGAAUUGACGGGGGCUCACACAAGCGGUGGAGCAUGUUGCUUAAUUCGAAGCAACGCGAAGAACCUUACCUGGGCUUGACAUGCACGGAUUAGCUCUUGGAAACAUGAGUGACGCGGCUUGCCGUGGAACGUGCACAGGUGCUGCAUGGCUGUCGUCAGCUCGUGCUG
rnacentral:rRNA from 1 species